GGCUGCAGGCAUGAGGGGGAAUGGGGAAACUGAGUAAAGGCGUGGGGCAGCUUGGCUGGGGGCUCUGGGAGGGAGCAGAGAGAAGGGAGGCUCAGCGAUGGGGCUGAUGGGGCCUGGACAUUGGUGGAGGGAUGAAGUAUGAGGGCAGUGGAGAGGCCUGGGGCAUGUGUGGGAGAAUAGGGUGGUUUGGGGGCAGGUUGGCUGGGGUAAGGCUGAGUGGAGCUGCCUCUCCAGUCAGGAGCAGCUCAGCUACCGGCAGUGACGAUCCCAGGAGGUGAUUACAGCUGGAGGAAUUCUAAACAGUCCACUUCUCCUUGUCUUGGUGUUUGAGCGCAUUGUGCUCCUGUCUGAACAGAGGAAAUCACUGAGGUGAUUUCUGUAUGUGGCAAGGUGUCUGUGUCAGCCUGGCAGCUUUGUCCAUAAGCAGCAGUGGUUAUUGUCUCUUGGUUUCCCAACCCCACUGUCCUCAAAGCUGCCGCUCUUCACUGGUUCCACAGACCUACUUUGUCACAAAGUAUCAGUAACUUUGCAGAAGUCACUGCACCCUCUGCUGUGGAUCAACCCUGGCACCUCUCUGAAUGUAGGUAUGUCCCUCCUGCAGACCUGCUUUUCUGUCCAAACUCUUACCUGGCAAAUUUGUUCUCUUACCUUUUGCCUUAGGUAGAUGAUAUUAUGACUUCUGCAUUCCUUAAUAUUUUUUUUCUUGAGACUGGGAACAUGGAUUAUUAUUAUUUUUUGAGGGGGGGAAGAGGGCAAAGAUCCAGUUUUAUGUUCAUUUUGUGUUCUGGUUCUUCUUUAAAGGUGUAGAAGGUCAUAGAAUCGAGGCAUGCAUGUGAUUUGUAAGGAGAAAAUAGGCAACCUUAUGCCUUUUCAUCCAUGAUUCCUUACCAUGGAGAUCAGCCAGAUACUAUUUGAUUGGCUGUUUCAUGAAUACAGGGUAAAAUAAGUUGAUGGCUCUGCCCGGUUUCUAGUACACUGUGCACAUACACUCAAAAUACAUCUAGUUCUAGAAUUAACGUCUCUGAUGUUCU